rnacentral:rRNA from 1 species
UACGUAGGUGGCAAGCGUUGUCCGGAAUUACUGGGUGUAAAGGGAGCGCAGGCGGGAAGCCAAGUCAGCUGUGAAAACUGCGGGCUUAACUUGUAGACUGCAGUUGAAACUGGUUUUCUUGAGUGAAGUAGAGGUUGGCGGAAUUCCGAGUGUAGCGGUGAAAUGCGUAGAUAUUCGGAGGAACACCGGUGGCGAAGGCGGCCAACUGGGCUUUAACUGACGCUGAGGCUCGAAAGUGUGGGGAGCAAACAGG